GCUGACAUGGUGCCACUGCACUCCAGCUUGGGCAACAGAGACUGUCUAAAAAAAAAAAAAAAGAUAGCAUAGGCAACUUAAACCAAGCCAGAGGGAAUUGAAAAUAAGGGACCUACUGGAGAAAUAAGAAAGACACAGUGAAUACUAGUUGGCUCUACCCUUAAUGGGAGGACCUAGGGAGAAGUUGGAGUAAACUGAGAUUUCCAGCCAGGGAGACUUUGAAUGGCUGUGAAUGGCGAUAUUCUUAACAGGGAAGGGACAUAGGAAUAUAACAGCGUUUUACCCUUGGACAGUGAGUUUGAGGUGUUGCCUAUUGGACAUCUGUCAUGUCUCGCCACUUUUCAGUAUGAGUCUGGCCCUCAGGCAAUAGCAGAGACUUGAACGGAGCUGUAGAGUCACAAAUGGUCUUUAUAGACAGGUUAGUUGAAGCCAUAGGCAUAGAUGAGCUCAUUUGGUAGAUGAAUUUAGAGAUUAAAAGUUCCUUGUUUCACCUAAUAAAUCUUCUUAGCCAGUUAUUAUUAUUGUGAGCCUGGCUUUUUCACCAGACCAAGUUCUUCUUGUUCAAGGAAUUCAAAGAUAAAGAAACCAGGCUGCAAUUCUUUCUGAUUGAUGUUUGGUUUCUAAAAGAAAUUUUCCUUCUUCUCUAAUUCACAAACUCUUCUAUACUUUUGUCACAUUAUAUACACUUAAGUUUAAACCAGUUUCUAUGUAUGUGAUGUUUAUAUUAUGUUAUUAAGAAAUAGACAUUUUUUGGAAGAAAGAAUUUGGCAUUUUGGAAAUAAUCAGUAAAUUAAAAAAUACAUGCACCACUUUCCCAUUCUUCUCCCCCCCUCAACCCCUAACCCUGUCCUCAAAUGCUUAGCUAGUGAAAUAUUAAAAUGUUGUAAUAGAAAUUGGAGUCAAGGUCUACUGGCUGAAGAGACCAUCUAUUUUCAGAUGGAAGGAGAGAGAACAAACUAAUCAAGAAUCAUUGGUUUGUUGCCUCUGUUGUUUUAUUUCUGACCUGUGCAUAUAGCUUUUGAAGUGGAGAUAUGCUAGUUCUUGGCAACUGAUACUUUCUGGGCAUGCAUUUUAUGAAAUAAUAGGUAUGUAUCUGCCUCAUUGUUUUAGGCCAUGUGUUUCUCUAGUUAAAAAAAUCAUUGGCAAAUGAAGAUCUGUCUGAAUUCAUGUAAACCCUAAGUUUUUAUUUACCUUAACAUUCAUGUGUUUUAAAUGUGUGUAUGGAGGUUUAAAAAAAAAAUACUGUAGAAGCAGCAGCUUCUCCGCUCCUUCUGGAAUCUCUCCCUGGUUCAGCCCGCCUGCCUCCACUCCUGCCUGCACCAUGUCCAUCAGGGUGACCCAGAAGUCCUACAGGGUGUCCACCUCUGGCCCCCGGCCUUCAGCAGCCACUCCUUCACGAGUGGGCCCAGUGCCCGCUUGAGCUCCUCGAGCUUCUCCCGAGUGAGCAGCACUGGCUUCCGUGGUGGCCUGGGUGCAGUCUAUGCGGGGGCCAGCGGCAUAGGCAUGGGAGGCAUCACUGCCGUCACCAUCAACCAUCACCUGCUGAAUCCCAUUAAGCUGGACAUGGACCCCAACAUCCAGGCCGUGCGCACCCAGGAGAAGGAGCAGAUCAAGACCCUCAACAAGAAGUUUGCUUCCUUCAUUGACAAGGUGUGGUUCCUGGAGCAGCAGAACAAGAUGCUGGAGACCAAGUGGAGCCUCCUGCAGCAGCAGAAAAUGGCCCGGAGCAACCUGGACAACAUGUUUGAGAGCUACAUCAACAACCUGAGGCGGCAGCUGGAGACUCUGGGCCAGGAGAAGCUGAAGCUGGAGGCAGAGCUUGGCAACAUGCAGGGGCUGGUGGAGGACUUCAAGAACAAGUAUGAGGAAGAGAUCAAUAAGCGUACAGAGAUGGAGAAUGAAUUUGUCCUCAUCAAGAAGGAUGUGGAUGAAACUUACAUGAACAAGGUAGAGCUGGAGUCUCGCCUGGAAGGGCUGACUGACAAGAUCAACUUCCUCAGGCAGCUGUAUGAAGAGGAGAUCCGGGAGCUGCAGUCCCAGAUCUCCGACAUGUCUGUGGUGCUGUCCAUGGACAACAGCUGCUCCCUGGACAUGAAUAGCAUCAUCGCUGAGGUCAAGGCGCAGUACGAGCAGAUUGCCAAUCGCAGCCGGGCUGAGGCAGAGAGCGUAUACCAGAUCAAGUAUGAGGAGCUGCAGAAGCUGGCUGGGAAGCACGAGGAUGACUUGUGGCGUACGACGACUGAGAUCUCCAAGAUGAACCGGAACAUCAGCCGGCUCCAGGCCGAGAUCGAGGGCCUCAAAGGCCAGAGGGCUUCCCUGAAGGCCGCCAUUUUAGAUGCUGAGCAUCGCGGGGAGCAGGCACUCAAGGAUGCUCGUGCCAAGCAGCAGCAGCUGGAGGAAGCACUGCAGAAGGCCAAGCAGGACAUGGCACGGCAGCUGCGUGACUACCAGGAGCUGAUGAAUGUCAAACUGGCCCUGGACAUCGAGAUCGCCACCUACCGCAAGCUACUGGAGGGCGAGGAGAGCCGGCUGGAGUCUGGGAUGCAGAUCAUGAGUAUCCACACGAAGACUACCAGCAGCUAUGCAGGUGGUCUGAGCUCUGCCUAUGGGGGCCUCACAAGCCCCGGCCUCAGCUACGGCCUGGGCUCCAGCUUUGGCUCUGGCGCGGGCUCCACCUUCAGCCGCACCAGCUCCAUCAAGGCCGUGGUUGUGAAUAAGAUUGAGACCCGCGAUGGGAGGCUGGUGUCUGAGUCCUCUGAUGUCCUGCCCAAGUGAACAGCUGCAACAGCCCCUCCCAGCCUGCCCCUCCUGAGGCUGCCCCAGAGCCCGGGAGGGAGGUUGCUGUGCAGGGGAGCACAGGGAACUCGAGACCCACCCCAUGCUCAGCCCUAGCCCUCAGCCCACCUGCGGGGAGUUUACUGCCUGGGGACCCCCCUUGCCCAUGCCUCCAGCUGCAAAACAAUUCAAUUGGCUUUUUUUUUUUUUUUUUUUAUUUA